AACGCGAAGAACCUUACCAGGUCUUGACAUCCAGUGCCAACCUAAGAGAUUAGGAGUUCCCUUCGGGGACGCUGAGACAGGUGGUGCAUGGYUGUCGUCAGCUCGUGUCGUGAGAUGUUGGGUUAAGUCCCGCAACGAGCGCAACCCUUGUCAUUAGUUGCCAUCAUUAAGUUGGGCACUCUAAUGAGACUGCCGGUGACAAACCGGAGGAAGGUGGGGAUGACGUCAAGUCAUCAUGCCCCUUAUGACCUGGGCUACACACGUGCUACAAUGGACGGUACAACGAGAAGCGAACCUGCGAAGGCAAGCGGAUCUCUGAAAGCCGUUCUCAGUUCGGACUGUAGGCUGCAACUCGC
rnacentral:rRNA from 1 species